UACGAAGGGUGCAAGCGUUACUCGGAAUUACUGGGCGUAAAGCGUGCGUAGGUGGUUUUUUAAGUCCGUUGUGAAAGCCCCGGGCUCAACCUGGGAAUUGCGCGCGAAACGGGGGGGCUUGAGUUCGGGAGAGGAGCGUGGAAUUCCCAGUGUAGAGGUGAAAUUCGUAGAUAUUGGGAAGAACACCGGUGGCGAAGGCGGCGCUCUGGACCGAGACUGACGCUGAGGCGCGAAAGCGUGGGGAGCAAACAGG
rnacentral:rRNA from 1 species